UCUGACGAUCGCUAUGGUUGCAAUCACGGCACUCUCUCCCAUGCGCGAAAGCAACUAGACAAGUUUUGGAACCUCUGAGGCGCGUACCCAGCUGACGAGUCGAUGCUAAUUUCAUGUUGAAGCCUUCGUCGUCGUCGUCCCCGUCGUUGUCGCUAGACACUGGUGUCUGGUGCGGUGGAAGACUACCAAAAGUGCUGCAGAGAUAUUGUGGAACAAUGAUUUGUGAUCCUCUGUGCAGUCCUUGAAGCAGCAACAGCUUACUCAGAGAAGGAGGGACACACCUGCUAUCUGCUAGCUUAUAAGACACCCACGGAAUUUUACAAGGUUUUGCGAAGUCAGUGUGCAGAACGAAUCCAUACAACGACGCAGAUGGCUUUUCUUCAGCCAAGAUUCUGCAACGGGCUGGUACUGCAAGAGUUUGCACAUUUCCCUCAGUCCAGAUUGCGUCAUUCCCGACACUGUACUGAGAGCAAUGUUCCAAGUACCACUUGAUUCGAGAAAGGAAAUAUCUAAGAUCCUUUAACCAAGUGAAAUGUGAUUUUCAGGUUUCACACAGGGAUGUGCCGAAAAGCAUUUGACCGUUUCCAUUCCCAGAUACUUUCGUAAUUUCGCUUUGUUGAUGUUCGUGUUUACAGUCCUUUCAAUUUUCGAUCACUGACUUGUGCCCUCAUCAGAUUAAAUGGACAGCGAAGCUUCCAAUCAGGACAAUAAGAUCCCCAGUAUCCCAUAAAAACACAUUGAUCCACAAUUCAGCACGUAGCCAGAUCAUACUUGGACUGAGAAAUUGGAAACGAGUUAAAGUGGAUAUCAAAACUAUCUGGUGUAUUAGUAAAUGUUGCAGUUAGGUGCUCUAGAGCUGUAGGGGGUUUUUCGCCACAUUUAGUCGCCGCGUCUAAAGUCUCACUUCAGGGUGAUUUUGGGGACAGACUGACAUGGCCUGGGCAAUUGCGACUCUGCAGUUAAUCAGAAAUCACAGACGGGUUUUGGUGACAAGGGAGAGAGGAUGCAAACCGUUUUGAAGCUCCUCCUGCAGUAGCCCCAGGAUGAGCCGAUGGCGUUUCACGAGGCUAAGCUUCCGCCAGAACCUCCGUCAGAAAGCCCCUACAAAAGGAGAGUUGCCAGGCCCUUGGUAAGAGCAGAAUCCGACUCGCCUCGAAGACCACGCAAAUCACUCACAUUGGGGACAGGCAGCCUUACAACUUAUUCUCUGGAGUGCAAAACUUCUCAACUACAAGCUUCAGCAUCUGUAUGUAUCGGCAAGUGCUGGUAUCGAGCGCAAUGCUUCCCAACCGCCUGAAACGAGUGCACAAUCUCACGCAGCCUAGAUGGAAGCUUCUCCUCUGCGCGUGUGAAGUCGAGGCCAAACACCUCAAAAAAUGGGCGCAACAUGUUCCUUGAUAGAGUAAGGCAGAGUUGGUGAUUUAUUUGUGAUGUCAUUGAAGGGGAAGAUAUAAGGUGAACUAGAAAGGCGGAGGAAUCAGAGUGGUUUAUCUCACUCAUUCGUCGCAUUGGAGAAGGUCUCAUCAGCAGCAGUUUCAGCACCAAAAUUGAGACUCAAAGUAUAGCGUAAGAUUCCGAAGAAAGGCAGCCCUGCCAAAGAAAAUUCGACUGACGAGAGGAAAUUCAAUCAAUCGAAAACCAAAUACUCUUUCAAUUAUGUAUUCAUGCCGAGAACUCAAACACCAGCCACCGCAGCCUCGAUGUCAUACAGUUGUCCAAAAAAGUUCAAAAUGCACAGAACUGAACAACAAAAAUAGCACUAUCACACCAUGCUCAUUCGCAUUCUGCGAGCUCGGACUAGUUCAUUAGUCCAAGAAGAGCUGGUCACAAUCGAACAAAAUGAGGAGAGCAAACCUGAAAAAUGUAUUGGGGAGCUAAAAAUGAACAUACUUGCAAUCGGUGAACGAUAUAAUCGAAGUUGUGAGGCACGAAUUCCGUGAUGUGCACCUCGUAGUGAAACGACGGUCUAUAGUUGGCAUUGAGAAGUGUGAGGGUGGGGAAGGCAACUGAUUGUACGUCGAUCGUCACGGGGUGGUGAAAUGCGACUUGUAACCGCUGAAGAUGAUAGGAAUGAACUGAUUGCUCGUAUUCAAACACUCAAUCUGUGCUGAUGAUGAUGGCUCAGCAUAUGAUUGUGAGAAAUUGCCCAGUGAGCUGGAUUAAACACGUUCAUCGCUAGUAUGAACUUGUGCUAAGUAAAUACCUUUCGGUUCAUUCCUGCA